UACGGAGGGUGCGAGCGUUGUCCGGAAUCAUUGGGCGUAAAGGGCGCGUAGGCGGCCAUUCAAGUCGGAGGUGAAAGCCCAGGGCUCAACCCUGGAAUUGCCUUCGAUACUGUCUGGCUAGAGAUCGGAAGAGGUAAGUGGAACUGCGAGUGUAGAGGUGAAAUUCGUAGAUAUUCGCAAGAACACCAGUGGCGAAGGCGGCUUACUGGUCCGGUUCUGACGCUGAGGAGCGAAAGCGUGGGGAGCGAACAGG
rnacentral:rRNA from 1 species